GCCAUGCUUGUCUGGUCUUCUCCUUUCCUUCUACCUCCUCUUGAGUUUAACAUGUCCAAGGAAAAUGGAUAACUUAACUCAAAGCAAAGAGGAGCCAACAUCUUCUGUAUGCAAGAAUCCUGGAUUGUGGACAUGCUAGGCCAAGAUCAAACAGCAUCUAGAUCAUUCCCUGGGGUUGUGAAUCUUUUGAUGAUAAUACUUCUGGCUGGUGAUGUUGAGCAAAAUCCUGGACCUGUUUUAAGUCCUGUGUUACAGCUACAGCUGUUCCCUGGGCUAACGCCACCUCUGCUACCUGGGCUACAGCAACUCUCUGGGCUAAUACCACCACUGCUACCUGGGCUACAUCAGCUCCCUGGGUUAAUACCACCUCUGCUACCUGGGCUACAUCAGCUCCCUGGGUUAAUACCACCUCUGCUACCUGGGUUGCAGCAGCUCCCUGGACUAAUACCACCAAGGCUAACGGAGCUACAGCAGCUCUCUGGGCUAACACCACCACUGCAGGACCCUAUAACAACUGAGCUUAGUAUGUCACCACAACCCAUCAUACCCAUGUGUACAGAAAGGAAAACAUCGAUCGUUAUUGAACUUUUGAUGGCAUGUGGAAAGAAACUGGUUUCACCAAAGUUGCGUGAGGGUCAGGACCUGAGUGGCUUUAUGAUUCACAAGGUAUUCAGAUCAAAGGUGGUGUACAUUCGGCCAUCAAGCAAUCUUCCAUUUCCGUUUGACAGCACAGAUUCAGAGGACAGUUGUGUGGAGGUUGACAUCAGCAUCUAGUAACCACAACACUUCUACUGCCAGUCAGACCUGUGGUCGUAUAACUACGAGGGCCAGGAGAAAUCAAAUCACACAAGAAGUUCACAAGAAGGACCAGAGCUAACCAGCCCUCUGCAUCACAGCAAGAUACCCGUGAUACCAUGACUGCUAACCAACCCUCUGCAGCACAGCAAGCGACCCGUGAUCUCACCACCAUAGCUAACCAGCCCUCUGCAUCACAGCAAGCAUCCAGUGUCAUUCACUUAGAUAGUGUUACCACAGAGGACCAGACUCCAUCAACUAGCAAUGACGAUUAUGCUGCCUACCUUUCGAUCAUGACUUCCAUCUCGGACCUUUCAUCUGAUGAUGAGGAAUUAAACCAGGCUGUGAUGGUCAUGAGUGGGUGUGGGCUCUCUCUCUCUCUCUCUCUCACACUCACACACACACACACACACACAUUAUUGACUUUAUUUUUGUCUUUAGAAAGUAUUUUUCGGAGGUGUAAUGAAACUUUUUCGACAGCGUUAUUUAUUUUGGGUUUUAAAUGUGUGUAGUAGAAAAAAGAAAAUCGAGCAAAAUUCUGAUUAUAUUGAUUGAUUUUGCUUUUUACAAGCAUAUGGAUGAUCUCAUUACCUUUGAAGGUAUUUGGUGUUGCAAUGAGGCAUUGUGCUCUGUAUUUGAAGGUGACUUGUUUUUUGCACAUUUAUUGUGAGUUGGGGCUGCUCUUAAUAUUUAUGCAUA